UACAGGGGGUGCAAACGUUGCUCGGAAUCAUUGGGCGUAAAGCGCACGUAGGCGGUUCGUUAAGUCGGAUGUGAAAGCCCUCGGCUCAACUGAGGAAGUGCACCCGAAACUGACAAGCUAGAGUAUGGUAGAGGGUGGUGGAAUUUCCUGUGUAGCGGUGAAAUGCGUAGAUAUAGGAAGGAACACCAGUGGCGAAGGCGACCACCUGGACUGAUACUGACACUGAGGUGCGAAAGCGUGGGGAGCAAACAGG
rnacentral:rRNA from 1 species